rnacentral:lncRNA from 1 species
GUUACAGUACAGUGGUAUUCUACAGUACAGUGGUAUACUACAGUACAGUGUUAUGUUACAAUACAGUGUUAUGUUACAAUACAGUGUUAUGUUACAGUACAGUGGUAUUCUACAGUACAGUGGUACACUACAGUACAGUGGCAUACUACAGUACAGUGGAUUGUUACAGUACAGUGUUAUGUUACAAUACAGUGUGUGACGGCCCUGAAUGUUUCUGAACCGUCUCAGUGCUUCUCCUUCCAAUAGGGCGCUUCCCCUUUAAUUCCCAAUUAAAUAGCCAGCAUCAGCUGCGUAAAAGUGGGGUUGUGAUGGAGACAUGAAUGAGGAUGUGUUCAACCCUCAGUUCUGAAGCUUCUCUCUUCCGUUUGUUUUGUUGCCUUUAAAAGUGUGCUUUGUGUAGCCUAAUAGCAAGUCUACCCAGGAUCGGAUGAUCUGUCGGUGGAUUGGCUUGUCUGACUGAUCGACUGACUACAACCUUUUUUGUAUACGACACGGUGGUGAAGAAGCCACAACAGCGACUCUUCAACAUCAGGAUGCUGAAGAAAUUCAGCCUGUCCCCGAGGGCCAUCACAGUGUUCUAGAGGAACACCAUCUAUUCUAGAGCAUACUGUCGGGCCGUUGCCUGGUAAGGCAACUCCACCGCCGCGGACCGCAAGGCUCUACAGAGGGUGAUACGCUCAGCCGAACGCACCAUUGGGUGCACAUCGUCUUUCCUCCAGGACACCUACAACACCAGGUGUCGCAGGAAGGCCAAGAAGAUAAUCAGACACCCCAACCACCCCAGCCAUGGCCUGUUCUCCCCGGGUUCCAUCACUCAGACCUGGGCAGUACAGGAGCAUCAUGGCUACAUACAGUGCCUUGGAAAGUACCCCAUACCCCCCAUCAUCGCCACAGAUGACACGAUCUCAGUCGCACUCCACACUGCCCUUUCCCACCUGGACAAAAGGAACACCUAUGUGAGAAUGCUAUUUAUUGACUACAGCUCAGCGUUCAACACCAUGCCCACAAAGCUCAUCACUAAGCUAAGGACCCUGGGACUAAACACCCCCGUCUGCAACUGGAUUCUGGACUUCCUGACAGGCCACCCCCAGGUGGUAAGGGUAGGUAACAACACAUCUGCCACGCUGAUCCUCAACACUGGGGCCCCUUAGCAGUGCGUGCUUAGACCCCUCCUAUACUCCCUGUUCACCCAUGACUGCGUGGCCAAGCACGACUCCAACACCAUCAUUAAGUUUGCUGCCGACACGACAGUGGUAGGCCUGAUCACCGACAACGGUGAGACAGCCUAUAGGGAGGAGGUCAGAGACCUGACUGUGUGGUGCUAGGACAACAACCUCCUUCAAUGUGAGCAAGACAAAGGAGCUGAUCAUGGACUACAGGAACAGGAGGGCCGAAUAGGCCCCCAUUAACAUCGACGGGGCUGAAGAGUAGAAGGUCGAAAGAGUCAAGUUCCUUGGUGUGCACAUCACCAACCAACUAUCAUGGUCCAUACACACCAAGACAGUUGUGAAGAGGGCAAGAUAAAACCUUUUCCCCCUCAGGAGAUUGAAAAGAUUUGGCAUGGGUCCCCAGAUACUCAAAAAGCUAUACAGCUGCACCAUCGGGAGCAUCCUGACUGGUUGCAUCACUAGCUGGUAUGGCAACUGCUCGGCAUCUGACUGUAAGGCGCUAUAGAGGGUAUUGCGUACUGCCCAGUACAUCACGAGGGCCAAGCUUCCUGACAUCCAGGACCUAUAUACUAGGCGGUGUCAGAGGAAGGCCAAAAAAAUUGAAAAAACUCCAGUCACCCAAGUCAUAGACUGUUCUCUCUGCUAUCACAAGGCAAGCGGUACCAGAGCGCUAAAUCUAGGACCAAAAUGCCGCUUAACAGCUUCUACCCCCAAUCCACAAGACUACUGAACAAUUAAUCAAAUGGCCAGUCGGACAAUUUACACUGACCCCCCUCCCCCUUUUGUUUUUACAAAUGACUUCUACUGACCUUUACCCCCGCACAUUGGCUCGCUAUUUAUUGUUUAAAAAAAUGUCAUCAAAAUCAAAAAGUAACACAAGAAAAUGAAUCGUUAUUGUUAUGCAAUUUUCUUGUGUUACUUUUAGAUUUUGAUUUUUUUUUUUUACUUUAGUUAAUUUAGUAAAUAUUUGUUAGCUGCUUUGUUGGUUAAGGGCUUGUAAUUAAGCAUUUCACUGUAAGGUACACCUGUUGUAUUCGGAGCAUAUUGACAAAUACAAUUUAAUUUGUCUUGUUAGAUAUUGCACAACAGUGUACUCAUCAGCUCACAUAAGGUACAUCUUUGUAUAGGCAGUAUUGAGUGCAGAUGGUACUGUGGGUGUACUGUGUAGUAUGUGUGAUAGUGAUCAGUGGAUGUUACUUCCCCCUUCCACAUGACUGCGUCCUGGGUCUCCUACUACGGUAGACCAUGCAAAUCACUCUGGCACCACAUCUCAAUUUGUUUGUAUUGAAAUACAGAGUCAAAUAGAGCCUUCUCUCAGCCAGGGUAACUUAUAUAGCCACUGGUCAUAAAGUGAGAAAAUGGUGUGACUGUGAUUAUGAAAUGUAGUAUACCACAGAUAUAGAACUGAUAUAUAGUUUAUGUAGUAUACCAUCGAUAUAGAACUGAUAUAUUGUCUAUGUAGUAUACCAUAGAUAUAGAACUGAUAUAUCUAUGUAGUACACCAUAGAUAUAGAACUGAU